rnacentral:misc_RNA from 1 species
AAAAAAAAUCCAGUUGUGGUUGUCUUUAUGUGAAAAAUCAAACACCGAAAAUCUGUGACUGACGGAUCGAGCCGCACCUCGAUCGGCGCCGAAAGGCCACCGUUUAAUAGAGAGAGAAUUUUUUCUACGGAGACUAGAGAGAGAAAUUGGUGGAGCGUCUUUAGAGUUUAGAAAGAAUAAAAAUGAGACUGGUCCGAGAGAGAGGCCGCUGCU